UGGACCAACCAUUUAGUAUAUCAAGUGUAUUCCAGUAUAUCUGAAGCCAGCCAAACUUCCAGUAUAUCAGUGUAGCACUGAAACAAACCAGUCUUCCAGUAGAUAUAAGUGUAGCACUGAGACAAACCAACCUUUUAGUAUAUCAGUGUAGCAUGUAGACCAACCUGACAGUAUAUCAAUGUACUGUUGAGAUUGACCAAGGAAUGGUUUUAUUGAUUAUAUGUAGCAUCAAGACCUACUAACCCCUACCUUGAUACAGAGGAAAAGAGAUUUAGUGGCAGAUGGGAGAGUGCCUACCCUUCAGUUUCGAAGCAAAUGAAACAUACAUCAAAAACUUUAUAAUGGAUUGGGUAUAUCUAAUGAAUAACUCAUUUGGUGAUAUAUAUACUACUGAAAAGAAUCUAAAGAAGUUCUUUAACUUCUUUUGAGCAAAGUAUUUCAACCAAAUCACAGUAUUAUAACAUGCAAAUCAUAAAAUGCCUCCCUCGUCCAAAAACUGUAACACUACUUACAGUAUAUCAGUACGUAUCACCCCAUCAACUUCUAAACAGUGCUACAUUUUGUCAUUGUAUACUGAUGUUGUAGAUUGUUGCUAACCCAAUGAAACAAAGGUUUAUCUGCUGGCUGUAUACAAAGUUAUACAUGACAUAGGUGUGAUAUAGCUCACUUAUCUCACUCACCCAGUUCAUCAUCAUUAACUCAUGAUUUUGUGUGGGGUAUUUUCCAGUUUGAUGUAUACCCCAGUGUUUCUUGUUAAAAGCUGCGCUCAGCAAUGAUCCAGAUACAUGAUGGCAUCAUGUAAGUAAUCACGUCUAGACCAGAUAAACUGGUUUGUCUUGCACUGAUAAUGGCAAAUGCUUCAACUUAAUGUUUGCACAAAUACAUGACAGUUUCUAAGUCUAAAUGAUUGCCCCUGAUAAGGACAAUGAGGGAGGAAAGGACCAUUUCAACUGGAAUAUUUAUUACAUUGACGUGCCCUUUUGUUGUGUUUAAAUUUUGUUGUUUCAUUAAUGCACUUCAUUAUUAUACUACUCCACUUUUGAAAAUGAUAUUUUAUCUCUUUGUGGUACACGUUUAAUUAUUCUUUUCAAAGGUGAGGUAGUAUAUAUGGCAACAUGAGGCAGCUCUUCUGACUUCACCAUUAAAACUACCUCACAUACUUGUUGUACUGACAGAGGGAGCAGGUGAAAAGUUUGAUACCUAAUUUCUCACCCCACCAAAAAAAAGGAAAAAGAAAGAAAAAUGGAUAAUCAGAGCUUUUUGUUUAUUGACUUGAACUGCAAAACCUCAAAAAAGUUGUUUUUGUUUGAUUGAAACUGUGCAGGUCUCUUUAACCUCCCUGCCUCCUAAACUAAGGUAGAACUAAGCUGAAAUAUUAUGUUUAAAAAUUACGAGGGGUGUGUGUGUUUCCAUUGAUUUUGUACAUGACAUGCAGUGGGGGUCACUUACUUUGCACUAAUUAUUCAGAAUGGAACCAAUCAAACUAUUCGGGUAUAUGCUCUAUAUGAUCUUCUAUGUAUAAGAAUCUCCUUGUAAUGCCAGCGAUACAAGGUGAAACUAUUUGUCAUGAGAUCAGGUCUACCUCCUAUGUAUAUGAAGAAAGCUGAGGUCCUCUGUAUGUAUAACCUUCAAAUAUAUGGUCAUCAAAACCAUGUUUCCUGCUAUCUGAAGACUGGAUAAGUUGGGUGUGUGUAUAUUAAACCUUGCACAGUUUAACAUGGAGGAUAUAAUCUCGUAUUCCAUGUCCGGUGAGUUUCAUUUGAAACAUACAUGUAGAAAUAGAAGUACUUAACAUGUGUGGGUGUUAUAUUUACAUUAUUUUGUUGUUAUGUGUUUCUUGUCCCUACAAUUAUGAUAAAGUUAAAUGUGUUUAUGGUCUCUUGUGUUAUAAUAGUGUGGACACUACUUUAAGAACUUGAAGAUGUAUGCAAGGAAAGUGUGAAUUAGAUCCAAGUGAAAUGUUAUUUAUCUCUGUUAUGGGUUAUAUAUAUUUUCUGUUUCAAUUAUUGUUUACUGAAAACAAGCAUGACAAUUAUGAUAAAACAAUUUGUUUUCUGCAACUUUAGUAGUGUUGAAUGAAUAGAAAUACAACAAAUGUAAACAAAA
rnacentral:lncRNA from 1 species